rnacentral:pre_miRNA from 1 species
AAUCCAGUGGAAGUAUUUCUACACAAACUAGAGCCUGCAUACCAGUGUGUAGAGUGCUUCUGCUGUUCU